UUCUCCUUUGCUCUCUUUAUAGAAAUGAUUGUAUCAAUUUAAGAAUGUUAUUCUUCCACACUUAAGAAUUAGUUUCACAAGUUCCUCCAAAGAUUGUGUAAAGUAGUGAUUCUCAGUCUACUUGAAAAUAAGUUAUUCGGGCAGCUUUUAAAAGAUAAGGAUGCUUCGAUCAUCUUCCUGAUCAAUUCAAUCAGAAUUGAGUCUACAUUAACUUUAUACACAGUUGACCCUUGAACAGCACAACAGGACUGCAGUUGUGCACUUCUAUGUAGAUUCUGUUCAACAAAGCACCGAUGGAAAAUACAGCAUUUACAAGAUGAGAAACCCGAGUACACAGAGGAUCAAUCUUUGGUAUAACACGAGUUCCACAAGGCUAACUGUGGCAUUUGGAUACUAUGACUCAUUUAUUCAGAAGUCGCUUGGUUACCUAUGUGUUUGGCGUGGGGCUGGACUACCAGCUUGGACUAACUUAGAAAACUGGGAAAAGAACCAACUUGCCUCAAAAACAAUUUCUCCUCUUUCUCUUUAUCCUUUUUCCUCUAUUUAGACUGCUACAUUAAUAAUGAACCUAAGCUACAGAUAAACAGAAUUCAAUCACUGUGGCCAAAAGACAGGAACUUAGCUGUGGUCAGUCUCCCACAUCUGAUGUCCUCGUGGUAGAGUUCAGGGUUAGAGACUAAGCUGAAAGGAAGGAUGGGACUAGGAAGAAUUGCAUAAUCAGACCUGCCAUAUCCACACACAAAUGGCCAAGUCCAGCCAGAAAUCUUCACAGCUGUUUGAAUAAUAAAGUGGAUAAAUGAGAAGAGGCUUCAGUAAGUUAGAUCAAGCAAGUUCUCAGUACCCAGAGCUAUACUGGGAAAAGCCGUUAGAUAAUGAUAACCAAAUGUAUUUUCCUUGACUGUUCUAUAGGAUUCAGGAGUGUUACUAAAUUGUGCCUCCAAAUCUUAAAAAUAAAAGCCUCAAAAUCUAUG
rnacentral:lncRNA from 1 species